UACGUAGGGCGCAAGCGUUGUCCGGAAUUACUGGGCGUAAAGCGUGCGCAGGCGGCUUUGCAAGACAGAUGUGAAAUCCCCGGGCUCAACCUGGGAACUGCAUUUGUGACUGCAUGGCUAGAGUACGGUAGAGGGGGAUGGAAUUCCGCGUGUAGCAGUGAAAUGCGUAGAUAUGCGGAGGAACACCGAUGGCGAAGGCAAUCCCCUGGACCUGUACUGACGCUCAUGCACGAAAGCGUGGGGAGCAAACAGG
rnacentral:rRNA from 1 species